rnacentral:rRNA from 1 species
UUUUUUAAUUGGGGACUGGUAUGAAUGGGCUAAUUAGGAAUAGACUUUUUUAUAUAUAGUAUCUUAAUUUUAUUAUCAAGUAAAAAGGCUUGGUUAUUAUAAAGUGACAAGAAGACCCUAAGAUUUUUACAAUGUUGUUGUUUACUAACUUGUUUGUUUGUAAAGAGGGGAGGCUACGAUUUUGUUUAGCUGGGGCGGCUGAAAUAUUGUCUAUUUUGGUUGAUACUUUAAUAAUAGUAUUAUAUGUUUUCUUAUCCUAUUUGGAAUACAUAAUAAAUUACCUUAGGGAUAACAGCAUAAUCUUUUCUGAGAGACCGUAUUGACGAGGAGGUUUGUGACCUCGAUGUUGGAUUUGAAUAACUUUUAGGGGCAGCACUUGUAAAAGUUGGUCUGUUCGACCAUUAAAUCUCACAUUGAUUUGAA